rnacentral:rRNA from 1 species
GAUGAACGCUGGCGGCGUGCCUAAUACAUGCAAGUCGAGCGAAUGGAUUAAGAGCUUGCUCUUAUGAAGUUAGCGGCGGACGGGUGAGUAACACGUGGGUAACCUGCCCAUAAGACUGGGAUAACUCCGGGAAACCGGGGCUAAUACCGGAUAACAUUUUGAACCGCAUGGUUCGAAAUUGAAAGGCGGCUUCGGCUGUCACUUAUGGAUGGAACCGCGUCGCAUUAUCGAGUUGGUGAGGUAACGGCUCACCAAGGCAACGAUGCGUAGCCGACCUGAGAGGGUGAUAGGCCACACUGGGACUGAGACACGGCCCAGACUCCUACGGGAGGCAGCAGUAGGGAAUCUUCCGCAAUGGACGAAAGUCUGACGGAGCAACGCCGCGUGAGUGAUGAAGGCUUUCGGGUCGUAAAACUCUGUUGUUAGGGAAGAACAAGUGCUAGUUGAAUAAGCUGGCACCUUGACGGUACCUAACCAGAAAGCCACGGCUAACUACGUGCCAGCCGCCGCCGUAA